AUUUGGGCGGUUAUGCCUUUGUACUCCGUACUUUAAAUAUUUGAAUGGAAGAGGAUGAUCCUCAUUUUUAUUUCCUGACUUUAUGUUUGCUCUAAAUGCUUAAUAUAACUACAACCGUGAUGAAAAUUCCCUGAAAAUAAAAUAUGCAUAACAUUCGCAUCCUCAUCAUGCAUCACGCUUCAUGAAAACUCAAAAAAAAAAAAACUUACCCAACCUUUUUACCCUUUAUCCAGC
rnacentral:lncRNA from 1 species